CUUGGUGAUAAUAGAGAGGGGGUCACACCUCUUCCCAUCCCGAACAGAGAAGUUAAGCCCCUCAUCGCCGAUGGUACUACUACCGAAAGGUUGUGGGAGAGUAGGACGUCGCCAGGG
rnacentral:rRNA from 1 species